AUUGGAUUUUUAAAAUAAAAUGCUUCUGGAGGAAAAAUCUUCUCUUUAGAAGAUUUUUCCUCCAGAAGCAUUUUAUUUUAAAAAUCCAAU